GUGAUUAAUGAGACUGAGGCGGAGAGAAAACGUUACUUGGAGGACGGGAAGCAGGGCCGCCUUCAAUGUGUGGCGUGUAGCAGGUCUUCAAAAGACUUCCCAGAUAUGCAUGCUCUUAUAAUGCACACAUACAACUCAGAUAAUGCUGACUUGCAUGUGGAUCACUUGGGCUUACACAAAGCUCUCUGUGUUUUAAUGGGAUGGAACUACUCAAAGCCCCCUGAUAAUGCAAAGUCCUAUCAGUUCUUGCCUGCUGAUGAAGCAGCAGCAAACCAAGAUGAUUUGAUUUUGUGGCCCCCUCUGGUGAUAAUUCAUAACACAGUUACAGGAAAGGGUAAAGAUGGGCGCAUGGAGGGUUUGGGAAACAAAGCAAUGGAUAACAGAAUAAGAGAUCUUGGAUUUGCUGGUGGCAAGUCAAAGUCCUUGUAUGGAAGAGAUGGUCAUCUGGGCAUAACAAUU
rnacentral:misc_RNA from 1 species